rnacentral:rRNA from 1 species
AGCGAACGCUGGCGGCAUGCCUAACACAUGCAAGUCGCACGGGGGGGCUUCGGCCUCCCAGUGGCGGACGGGUGAGGAACGCGUAGGGACCUGUCGAGGGGUGGGGGAUAACCGCGGGAAACUGCGGCUAAUACCGCAUGACGCCGCGGCGUGACAGCCGGGGCCAAAGGCGAAAGCCGCCCGCCGAGGGGCCUGCGUCCGAUUAGCUGGUUGGCGGGGUAGCGGCCCACCAAGGCGUCGAUCGGUAGCUGGUCUGAGAGGGUGAUCAGCCGCACCGGGACUGAGACACGGCCCGGACUCCUACGGGAGGCAGCAGUGGGGAAUAUUGGACAAUGGGCGCAAGCCUGAUCCAGCAAUGCCGCGUGGGUGAAGAAGGUCUUCGGAUUGUAAAGCCCUUUCGGCGGGGACGAUGGUGACGGUACCCGCAGAAGAAGCCCCGGCUAACUUCGUG